AUCCCCUCUGAGGCCAAAACAUAUAAUGGUGUAAGGAUCCACUCACCGGCUCAAGAAAGAUAGUCCAGCUCCUGGUUGAAGCUCCUUCUGCUUGAAGUAAACUAAUCCCAAGAAAUGGAUCGCCGUCGCAAACUGUCUGGAUCCGGUGAUGACAGCGAUGCUUUAGAUAAGAGUAUUGGUCUUCCUCCUUACUUUAACUGUGCUGGGAGUAAACCAGAGGAGAUACUACAGCGGAAACUUCAAACUGUUGAUUCUUUCAAGAGAACCAUUGAGGAACUAAAGUCAGAAUAUAAGAGAAAUCUCCCCACACUCACUGAUCAAAUGAAGAAACUGGAGGACAUCUCUGAUGUGAUUGAAUUGUGCACAAGAACGCUACAGUGGUCAGUUUGGCUGGAUCAUCAGUUGGAGCAGUGGGUCUGGCUUUAUCUCCAGUCACAUUAUGAGCUUCUUUGUGUGUUACUGCUGUUGCAGCUGUUGCUUUAGUAGCUGGAGGAGUAACACGUGCAGCAUCAAACAUCAUUAACAUACUCAAGCAAAGAAAACUACGUCCGACUGUUGUGAAGAUCAUCAGUGAUU
rnacentral:lncRNA from 1 species